CACUAUGGGGUGCAGCAGGCCCGGAUGGAUCGUAUGAAGAAGAUGGUGGCCAAGAUCAAUUCACUGGGCUUUCCGGAGAUCCGUUUUGAAGAUGUGGCCAGCCGCACACGGUCCAAUGCCGUCGGGCGCUUGCAUCUGGCGCAGCUUCUCGUCGAGAAAAAGGUCGUUACCAGUAUCGAUAUGGCCUUUGAACGUUAUCUCGGCGAGGGAGAGUCGGCUUAUUUUUCAAAAUUUAAGUAGACGCCUGCUGAGGCGAUCCGGCUGAUCAAGGACUCGGGAGGCGCUGCUGUUCUGGCCCAUCCGAUGCUGACGGCGCGGGACGAGAUCAUCCCGGAAUUGGCGGGGGAGC
rnacentral:rRNA from 1 species